GACAGUGUGUGGUGGGUAGUUUGACUGGGGCGGUCUCCUCCCAAAGAGUAACGGAGGAGCGCGAAGGUACUCUAAGCGCGGUCGGAAAUCGCGCGGUUAGUGCAAAGGCAUAAGAGUGCUUGACUGCGAGACUGACACGUCGAGCAGGUGGGAAACCAGGUCUUAGUGAUCCGGUGGUUCUGUAUGGAAGGGCCAUCGCUCAACGGAUAAAAGGUACGCCGGGGAUAACAGGCUGAUACCCCCCAAGAGUUCACAUCGACGGGGGUGUUUGGCACCUCGAUGUCGGCUCAUCACAUCCUGGGGCUGUAGCCGGUCCCAAGGGUAUGGCUGUUCGCCAUUWAAAGGUGGGUAACGCGAGCUKGGUUUAGAACGUCGUGAGACAGGUUUGGUCCCUAUCUGGUGUGGGCGUYAGAAACUUGAGAGGAGCUGCUCCUAGUACGAGAGGACCGGAGUGGACGUACCUCUGGUGUCCAGUUGUCAUGGUACCARUGRUCCAUYSCYSRGUAGCUAUGUACGGACGGGAUAACCGCUGAAAGCAUCUAAGCGGGAAGCCCCCCUCAAGAU
rnacentral:rRNA from 1 species